ACGGCAGUUGGCGGGUCGGAAGCCGUCCGGUGAAAGUGGAUCACCGGGCGCGAAUCAUCCUGGAAGCCAACGAAGUUCGAGCCGUCGGUGUCGAUC
rnacentral:tRNA from 1 species